rnacentral:rRNA from 1 species
GAUGAACGCUAGCUACAGGCUUAACACAUGCAAGUCGAGGGGCAGCGGUAUCGAAAGCUUGCUUUCGGUAGCCGGCGACCGGCGCACGGGUGAGUAACGCGUAUCGAACCUGCCUCAUACUCGGGAAUAGCCUUGCGAAAGUAAGAUUGAUGCCCGGUGUUUUCAGAGUCCCGCAUGAGGCUUUGAACAAAGAUUUAUCGGUAUGAGAUGGCGAUGCGUCCCAUUAGCUUGUUGGCGGGGUAACGGCCCACCAAGGCAUCGAUGGGUAGGGGUUCUGAGAGGAAGGUCCCCCACAUUGGAACUGAGACACGGUCCAAACUCCUACGGGAGGCAGCAGUGAGGAAUAUUGGUCAAUGGGCGGAAGCCUGAACCAGCCAAGUAGCGUGCAGGAAGACGGCCCUCCGGGUUGUAAACUGCUUUUAGUUGGGAAUAAAACGGGGCUCGUGAGCCCCCUUGCAUGUACCAUCAGAAAAAGGACCGGCUAAUUCCGUG